GGUAACCUGCCUGUAAGACUGGGAUAACUCCGGGAAACCGGGGCUAAUACCGGAUGGUUGUUUGAACCGCAUGGUUCAGACAUAAAAGGUGGCUUCGGCUACCACUUACAGAUGGACCCGCGGCGCAUUAGCUAGUUGGUGAGGUAACGGCUCACCAAGGCGACGAUGCGUAGCCGACCUGAGAGGGUGAUCGGCCACACUGGGACUGAGACACGGCCCAGACUCCUACGGGAGGCAGCAGUAGGGAAUCUUCCGCAAUGGACGAAAGUCUGACGGAGCAACGCCGCGUGAGUGAUGAAGGUUUUCGGAUCGUAAAGCUCUGUUGUUAGGGAAGAACAAGUGCCGUUCAAAUAGGGCGGCACCUUGACGGUACCUAACCAGAAAGCCACGGCUAACUACGUGCCAGCAGC
rnacentral:rRNA from 1 species